rnacentral:tRNA from 1 species
GACUCCGUAGCUCAGCUGGUAGAGCAAAUGACUCUUAAUCAUUGGGUCGAGGGUUCGAUCCCCUCCGGGGUCAC